rnacentral:rRNA from 1 species
GAUGAACGCUGGCGGCGUGCCUAAUACAUGCAAGUCGAGCGAACAGACGAGGAGCUUGCUCCUCUGACGUUAGCGGCGGACGGGUGAGUAACACGUGGAUAACCUACCUAUAUGACUGGGAUAACUUCGGGACACCGGAGCUAAUACCGGAUAAUAUAUUGAACCGCAUGGUUCAAUAGUGACUGACGGUUUUGCUGUCACUUAUAGAUGGAUCCGCGCCGCAUUAGCUAGUUGGUAGGGUAACGGCUUACCAAGGCGACGAUGCGUAGCCGACCUGGGAGGGUGAUGGGCCACGCUGGAACUGAGACACGGCCCAGACGCCAACGGGAGGCGGCCGAGGGGAAUCUCCGCAAUAGGCGAAAGCCAGACGGAGCAACGCCGCGUGAGUGAUGAAGGUCUUCGGAUCGUAAAACUCUGUUAUUAGGGAAGAACAAAUGUGUAAGUAACUAUGCACGUAUUGACGGUACCUAAGCAGAAAGCCACGGCUAACUACGUG